rnacentral:rRNA from 1 species
UACGGAAGGUCCGGGCGUUAUCCGGGUUUAUUAGGUUUAAAGGGAGCGCAGGCUGCCGAUUAAGCGUGACGUGAAAUGCCGCGGCUCAACCGUGGAAGUGCGUCGCGAACUGGUCGGCUUGAGUGUGCACGAGGAAGGCGGAAUUCGUGGUGUAGCGGUGAAAUGCUUAGAUAUCACGAAGGGCUCCGAUUGCGAAGGCAGCCUUCCAGGGCAUUACUGACGCUAAGGCUCGAAGGUGCGGGUAUCGAAC